AAUACGAGACGCUAAGUCGUCGAAGUAGUGUAUGUCAUACUUCCAAGAAAAGCUUGCACUGUCAUAGAUAAAAAACGCCUGUACCAUAACCGACACAGGUGGGUAGGUAGAGUAUACUAAGGGGCGCGAGAUAACUCUCUCUAAGGAACUCGGCAAAAUAACUCCGUAACUUCGGGAGAAGGAGUGCCUUAUUCGUAAGGUUGCAAUAACAAGAUCCAAGCAACUGUUUAUCAAAAACACAGGUCUCCGCUAAGUCGUAAGACGAUGUAUGGGGGCUGACGCCUGCCCAGUGCCAGAAGGUUAAAAGAAGUUGGUUAGCAAUUGCGAAGCUGAUAACUGAAGCCCUGGUGAACGGCGGCCGUAACUAUAACGGUCCUAAGGUAGCGAAAUUCCUUGUCGGGUAAGUUCCGACCCGCACGAAAGGCGUAAUGAUUUGGAUACUGUCUCGGAGAGGGGCUCGGUGAAAUAGACUUGUCUGUGAAGAUGCGGACUACCUGCACCAGGACAGAAAGACCCUAUGAAGCUUUACUGUAACUUGAAAUUGAAAUUGGACUUUAUUCGCGCAGUAUAGGUGGGAGGCGUUGAUUAUAAUCUUGUGGGAUUAUUGGAGCCAUCAGUGAGAUACCACUCUUGUAAUGUUAGAUUUCUAACUUUGAAUCAUUAUCUGGUCAAAGAACAGUUUCAGGCGGGCAGUUUGACUGGGGCGGUCGCCUCCUAAACGGUAACGGAGGCGUACAAAGGUUUCCUCUGAACGGUUAGAAAUCGUAUCUAGAGUGUAAAGGCAUAAGGAAGCUUGACUGUGAGACCUACAAGUCGAGCAGGGACGAAAGUCGGUCUUAGUGAUCUGACGGUACUGAGUGGAAAGGCCGUCACUCAACGGAUAAAAGUUACUCUAGGAUAACAGGCUGAUCUCCCCCAAGAGUUCACAUCGACGGGGAGGUUUGGCACCUCGAUGUCGGCUCACCGCAUCCUGGGGCGGUAGUACGUCCCAAGGGUUGGGCUGUUCGCCCAUGAAAGCGGUACGCGAGCUGGGUUCAGAACGUCGUGAGAUAGUUCGGUCCAUAUCCGGUGUAGGCGUUAGAAUAUUGAGAGGAGCCUUCUUUAGUACGAGAGGACCGAGAAGGACAUACCUCUGGUGUACCAGUUAUCGUGCCAACGGUAAACGCUGGGUAGCUAUGCAUGGAGUGGAUAACCGCUGAAAGCAUCUAAGUGGGAAGCCCACCUCAAGAUAAGUAUUCUCAU
rnacentral:rRNA from 1 species